rnacentral:ncRNA from 2 species
AUCUUAUCAAGAGAGACUGAGUGACUGGCACUUUGAAGUCCGGCAACCUGAACAAUAGUUCAAGGUGCUAAAUCCAGCAGGUUAAUAGCCUGGAAGAUGAGGA